UCUCCCACUUUAGUAAGAAAGAUGUGGUGUACAGAAUCUUGCAAAAAUGGAGGAUAUGGAUUUGGGGCGCGAACUGUCCCGACCACGGCGGUGCUGCCUACCAACACCAUGUGCAAGACUGCCUGACUUGUCCUCUAUCUUAAUGUUGUCAGCAAGAAGUUACUCCAAAUUCCAUCGCCUAACAAUAUCAUCAGUUGUAAGAAGUUAGGAGUUUGGUACGUACCCCGGUGCAAGAGACCAUGGAUGCAAAAGUCAGAUAAUUAGGAACCUGGACUACAAGGGCAAAUGGGAGGCACCUUUCAUCGACAUUCAGCCCAGGGAACCUCAACUUUCCCACUGUUGUACAUUCAUACUACUGUCCAUGUAUCGCUUCUGCUCAACUAUAAUACACGGAAA